rnacentral:rRNA from 1 species
UAACGAUUAAGCUACCUGGGAAUACUACUUGGCUUGGGACCGGGAGAGGUCAGAGGUACUUCAAGGGUAGGGGUGAAAUCCGUUAAUCCUUGGGGGACCACCAGUAGCGAAGGCGUCUGAUCAGACCGGAUCCGACGGUGAGGGACGAAGGCUAGGGGAGCGAACCGGAUUAGAUACCCGGGUAGUCCUAGCUGUAAACGAUGCGGGCUAGGUGUUGGUAUUACUGCGAGUGAUGCCAGUGCCGAAGGGAAGCCGUUAAGCCCGCCAUCUGGGGAGUACGGUCGCAAGGCUGAAACUUAAAGGAAUUGGCGGGGGAGCACCACAACGGGUGGAGCUUGCGGUUCAAUUGGAUUCAACGCCGGGAAUCUCACCGGAGGGGACAGCAAGAUGAAGGUCAGGCUAAAGACCUUACUCGAUUAGCUGAGAGGUGGUGCAUGGCCGUCGGCAGUUCGUGUCGUGAAACAUCCUGUUAAGUCAGGCAACGGGCGAGACCCGUGCUCACAGUUGUCAGCAUGUUCCUCGGAACGAUGGGCACUCUGCGAGGACCGCCACCGCUAAGGUGGAGGAAGAAGCGGGCCACGGUAGGUCAGUAUGCCCCGAAUCCUCCGGGCUACACGCGUGCUACAAUGGGUAGUACAAUGGGUACCGACUCCGAGAGGGGGAGGAAAUCCCCUAAAACUACCUUCAGUUGGGAUCGAGGGCUGCAACUCGCCCUCGUGAACCU